AAAAGGGCUUGCGGUGGAUUCCUUGGCGUCAAUGGGCGAUGAAGGGCGUAGCAAGCUGCGAUAAGCUUCGGGGAGCCGCUAACAGGCGUUGAUCCGGAGAUUCCCGAAUGGGGCAACCCUGCACAGGUCAUACUGUGCAAUCUUCGACUGAAUACAUAGGUCGUUGAGGCUAACCAGGAGAAUUGAAACAUCUUAGUACCCUGAGGAACAGAAAGCAAAAGCGAUUCCCUUAGUAGUGGCGAACGAACGGGGAACAGCCUAAACCAAGCGUUACGUUAAAACCCGUGGGUGUUGUACGCUUGGGGUUGUGGGUCUCGAUUUGGCGGAACUACGGAUCUGCCGGAAUGUUACAAAAACAUACUUUAGUUUAGCAGGCUGGAAAGCCUGGCCAUAGAUGGUGAUAGCCCAGUGAACGAAAAGGUAUGUUCAUUCUUGAUUGAGUACCCAAGUACUGCGGGACACGAGAAAUCUUGUAGGAAUCUGGGAGGACCACCUCUCAAGGCUAAAUACCAUUGACGACCGAUAGUGAACUAGUACCGUGAGGGAAAGGUGAAAAGCACCCCGGUAAGGGGAGUGAAAUAGUAUAUGAAACCGCGAGCCUACAAGCAGUGGGAGCACUAUACUCUUGCUUCGGCAGGAGAAUGUGUGACCGCAUACCUUUUGCAUAAUGAGCCGCCGAGUUACUUUACUUAGCAAGGUUAAGCCGAUAGGUGUAGCCGUAGCGAAAGCGAGUCUGAAUAGGGCGUUUAGUUAAGUGGAGUAGACCCGAAGCCGGGUGAUCUACCCAUGUCCAGGGUGAAGCGUAGGUAACACUACGUGGAGGCCCGAACCAGUAGACGUUGAAAAGUCUUUGGAUGAGGUGUGGGUAGGGGUGAAAGGCUAAUCAAACCCGGCAAUAGCUGGUUCUCCCCGAAAUAGUUUUAGGACUAGCCUUGUAUAAUAGUAAACGGAGGUAGGGCGCUGGAUGGACUAGGGGCCUCACCAGGUUACCAAACCCAACCAAUCUUCGAAUUCCGUUUACCGUAUUACAGGAGUCAGACUGCGGGUGAUAAGGUCCGUAGUCGAGAGGGAAAGAGCCCAGACCACCAGCUAAGGUCCCUAAGAUAGACUAAGUGGGAAAGGAGGUUGGCUUAGAAGCAGCAAUCCUUUAAAGAAAGCGUAAUAGCUCACUGAUCAAGUGUACCUGCGCCGAAAAUUUAACGGGGCUAAGUUUAUCACCGAAGCUGUGGAUUGGAGAUAACUUCGGUUAUCUCUUCUGGUAGGGGAGCGUUCCAUACUGGGCUGAAGCUCGAUCGUAAGAACGGGUGGACUGUAUGGAAGUGAGUAUGGCGGCAUGAGUAACGAUAAAACAGGUGAGAAACCUGUUCGCCGAAAAUCCAAGGGUUCCUGAGGAAGGUUAAUCCACUCAGGGUAAGUCGACCCCUAAGGCGAGGCCGAAAGGCGUAGCUGAUGGGAAGCGGGUUAAUAUUCCCGUACCACUUGAAUCGCGUUAUUAGCGAUGGGGUAACGUAGAAGGGUAAUUUAUCCGGGUGUUGGACGUCCCGGUUCAAGCAUGUAGGAGGGUGACUUUGGCAAAUCCGGGUCACCAUUAACUCUGAGGUGUGAUGAGGAGCUUCUCCUUCGGGACAAGCGAACUAAAUGAUCCCAUGCUACCGAGAAAAACCUCUAGUGAGCUAUUCAGGUGAUCGUACCCUAAACCGACACAGGUGGAUGAGUAGAGAAUACUAAGGCGCUUGAGAAAACUCUGGUUAAGGAACUCGGCAAAUUAGCUCCGUAACUUCGGGAUAAGGAGUGCCCUCAUAAGGUGAAAGAACUUGCUUCUGGAGCUGAAGGGGGUUGCAGUGACCAGGUAGCCGCGACUGUUUACUAAAAACACAGGACUCUGCUAAGUCGCAAGACGACGUAUAGGGUCUGACGCCUGCCCGGUGCCGGAAGGUUAAAAGGAGGGGUUAACCCUUAACUAUAACGGUCCUAAGGUAGCGAAAUUCCUUGUCGGGUAAGUUCCGACCUGCACGAAUGGCGUAACGAUGGCUACACUGUCUCAACCAGAGACUCAGUGAAAUUGACAUACCGGUGAAGAUGCCGGUUUCCCGCAGAAGGACGGAAAGACCCCGUGCACCUUUACUACAGCUUGAUAUUGGAUAUUGGUUUAGUAUGUGUAGGAUAGGUGGGAGACUUUGAAACUUUGGCGCUAGCUAGAGUGGAGUCAAUCUUGAAAUACCACCCUUAUUACACUGAUAUUCUAACCUCGGUUCCGUGAAUCCGGGCCAGGGACAAUGUCAGGUGGGUAGUUUGACUGGGGCGGUCGCCUCCUAAAAUGUAACGGAGGCGCGCGAAGGUUCCCUCAGGCUGAUUGGAAACCAGCCGACGAGUGUAAAGGCAUAAGGGAGCUUGACUGCAAGACUUACAAGUCGAGCAGGUGCGAAAGCAGGUCUUAGUGAUCCGGUGGUUCCAUGUGGAAGGGCCAUCGCUCAACGGAUAAAAGGUACGCCGGGGAUAACAGGCUUAUCGCCUCCAAGANNNNNNNNCUGAAGCAGGUCCCAAGGGUUGGUCUGUUCGCCCAUUAAAGCGGUACGCGAGCUGGGUUUAGAACGUCGUGAGACAGUUCGGUCCCUAUCCUCUGUGGGUGUUGGAUAUUUGAGGAGAUCUGUUCCUAGUACGAGAGGACCGGAAUGGACGAACCUCUGGUUUUCCGGUUGUGAUGCCAAUUGCAUCGCCGGGUAGCUAUGUUCGGAAAGGAUAACCGCUGAAAGCAUCUAAGCGGGAAGCCAACUCCAAAACUAGAUAUCCCCUCCUCCUUCGGGAGGACCGUAGACCCCUUGUAGACUACAAGGUUGAUAGGCCAGAUGUGUAAGCACAGCAAUGUGUUCAGCUAACUGGUACUAAUUGGUCGCGAGGCUUGAUC
rnacentral:rRNA from 1 species